rnacentral:sRNA from 1 species
GAAAAAAUAACGAUAUUGCUAGGAAAAUAAGGUCAAAUUUAUUCAUAUUGAUUUUCUGUACUUAUGUAAUUUCAAAGUUUUUUACAUGUAUAUAGUUACUAUCAUUACAUAUUCAAAUGUAUAACUACCAUGUCUUGGAUAUUUUGAAACUACAUUAGUGUAUGUAUAUACAAUUAAAUGUGUAUGUUUGUACGCUGCAUGUACGAAUAUUCCACCACUGAGUAAUUUUCAACAUUUAUUGUUUGUUCUGUUUCCAUAUAUACUGUAAGCGCUUGUUUACAGUUUUGUUAAUGUUACCUGACUAUUCUGUCUCAGCUUGCUAGUCUAUCUUUGAAUCGAUGAUUAUAUUUAUACAAUACAGUUUUCCAAGUCAUUACAAAAUCUCUAUCAGUUCACAAGUCUGUUGACAUAACUUUAACUAACUUAUAUUGUUUAUUUCUUUUGUUUAAUACUUUUUGAAUAUUUUAAGUAAACUAAUUGUACUCGAAUGAUCAGCUUGAAGGGUGAUGUUUGCUUUUUGUAUUCUGAUUAUUUAGAUACUGUUAAGAUUGUAGUCGCAAUGCAUUUUUUAUUAUCAUUUUUGACAAAUGAAAUUUUGACAUGUAAUACAGUGUAACAUAGUCAUUGUGAUCUUAAGACGAGAAAUAGUUAUUUCUUUUAAUUAUUUUGCUGAUAACUUAUGAAAAUUGUCGAUUCUGCAAGAAAUGGAAGAUCUAAAUGUUCUUCUACGGCCUGGUAAAGUUUUCCUAUACAUUGUAUUAAUUUCUGGUGCUGACUUUUUGUAGCCACAUGUUUUCAGUAAUUAGAUGUUUUGAUUCUGAAUAAAUUGCUGGGUAUCAC